UUCAUUUACAUAAGGUGUAAACCAAGUAACCAAUUGGAAACCUCUAGACGGUAUUUAAACUCCAGAAAAUUCUAUAACCAGCCUCUUGAGCUGCUUGCUUGGCCCACUCUCACUCUGUGGAGUGUACAUUUGUUUCCAUAAAUCUGUGCUUUUUUUUUCAUUGUUUUGUUUGUGCAUUUCAUCCAAUUGUUUGUUCAAAAUGCCAAGAAUCUGGACACCCUCCACCAGUAACAGGCAUUGGGAAGGGGAAGGCAGAAAAGCGGAGUGCAAAAUGAAGUGGUAGUGGGUGCUAACUAACAAGAGAACCUUUGAACACGAUGGGACAGAAAUAAGGUCAUGCAUUUUCUACUAUCUGUCACCUGUGGACAACUUGCCACUUCAACAGUUCUGGACACUUUUAAGCUCCCCCGAGGAGAAGAUAGGAAACUUGGACACCCUGUGUGGGAUUGAGAAUCACAAAGGGGCAGUCUCGCACCUGGUCAAGAUAAAGCUGAACUGAACUCUUCAUUCACAAGUGGGAUUCUCGUAAGAGGCAGGAAAGCAGGGACCGUCUGUCACUACAGACAGCAAGAAGAGGUGAACCUUAAUGAGGGAAGAAAACAGAUUCUAUUAGGGGAAAAAAACAUUUAAUCAGAAAAUAAGGCUCUGGAAAGAAAAGGCCAAUUGGGGCUUUGUCUGAAGAAAUAACAGAGUAUUUUUCUGCCAGAGAAAGCAAGUCCAAGGGAGGAAUUUUCAGAUUGACCAAAGAGUAUUGGUCUACAUCAUUAGUACUUUCAGUGAGAAAUAACUGAAAAUAAACUAGAGCAAAAGUUCCCCAGGUGUGGUUCCAGGACCAGCAACUGAAACAUCACCUGGGAACUGUUAAAAAUGCAAAUUCUUGGGCUCUCCGCCAGAAUCACUGAAUCAGAAACUCUGAAAUGGGACCCAAUAAUCAGCAGCUUAACAAGCUCUCCAGGUCUUUAGAAAAUAACUCUUUCAACCAAUUGCCAAUGAGAAAAUCUCUGAAUCAGCCUAUGACCUGCAAGCCCCUGCUUCCAGUUGUCCCACCUUUCUGGACCAAACUAAUGUACAUCUUUCAUGUAUUGAUUGAUGUCUUAUGUCUCCC
rnacentral:lncRNA from 1 species